rnacentral:misc_RNA from 1 species
GCAAAGUACAUAUUUAGUGUAUUGAAGAAUGGUACUAUAGCUUAUGGGAAAAAACUAACUAGUAAACAAUUUACAGCUUUGCUGAUCAUAAUUGGUUAUUGGAACAUAGCCAUUUUGCUUGGACCUGUUUUUCCGCAUCUACAUGCAUGUUUGCUUUUAUUUUUUUAGUUAAAAAAUCAAAACACCCACCCAUCUACACCACCAAUACCCUGUGCAAUCCUUUCUUCACACUGCUUUAGCUGAGUUCUUGUCAUUCUCUAUGUUCAGGCUGAUGUACUAGAAUAUUAU